rnacentral:rRNA from 1 species
GACGAACGCUGGCGGCGUGCUUAACACAUGCAAGUCGAACGGAAAGGCCCUGCUUUUGUGGGGUGCUCGAGUGGCGAACGGGUGAGUAACACGUGAGUAACCUGCCCUUGACUUUGGGAUAACUUCAGGAAACUGGGGCUAAUACCGGAUAGGAGCUCCUGCUGCAUGGUGGGGGUUGGAAAGUUUCGGUGGUUGGGGAUGGACUCGCGGCUUAUCAGCUUGUUGGUGGGGUAGUGGCUUACCAAGGCUUUGACGGGUAGCCGGCCUGAGAGGGUGACCGGCCACAUUGGGACUGAGAUACGGCCCAGACUCCUACGGGAGGCAGCAGUGGGGAAUAUUGCACAAUGGGCGGAAGCCUGAUGCAGCAACGCCGCGUGCGGGAUGACGGCCUUCGGGUUGUAAACCGCUUCCGCCUGUGACGAAGCGUGAGUGACGGUAAUGGGUAAAGAAGCACCGGCUAACUACGUG